rnacentral:rRNA from 1 species
UACAGAGGGGGCAAGCGUUGUUCGGAAUUACUGGGCGUAAAGGGCGCGUAGGCGGCCCGCUAAGUCGAACGUGAAAUCCCCGGGCUCAACCCGGGAACUGCGUCCGAUACUGGUGGGCUCGAAUCCGGGAGAGGGAUGCGGAAUUCCGAGUGUAGAGGUGAAAUUCGUAGAUAUUGGGAAGAACACCGGUGGCGAAGGCGGCUCACUGGCCCGUAACUGACGCUCAUGCACGACAGCGUGGGGAUCAAACAGG